rnacentral:rRNA from 1 species
AGAUUGAACGCUGGCGGCAUGCUUUACACAUGCAAGUCGAACGGUAACAGGCCGCAAGGUGCUGACGAGUGGCGAACGGGUGAGUAAUGUAUCGGAACGUGCCCAGUCGUGGGGGAUAACGCAGCGAAAGCUGCGCUAAUACCGCAUACGAUCUACGGAUGAAAG